AGUGAGUAGCUUGCUAUGAACUGUUUUAGCGGCGGACGGGUGAGUAACGCGUGAGCAACCUUUCCUUCACAGGGGGAUAAGAUACCGAAAGGUGUUCUAAUACCGCAUGAGACCACAGAGCCACAUGGCUCAGGGGUCAAAGGAGGAAUCCGGUGAAGGGUGGGCUCGCGUCCGAUUAGCUAGUUGGUGAGGUGACGGCCCACCAAGGCGACGAUCGGUAGCCGACCUGAGAGGGUGAUCGGCCACAUUGGAACUGAGAGACGGUCCAAACUCC
rnacentral:rRNA from 1 species